rnacentral:tRNA from 1 species
GGUCGUAUAGCUCAGUCGGUAGAGCACGGUGCUAAUAACGCUGCGGUCCAGGGGCCGAGCCCCUGUAUGACCA